AGCAUUUUGCUAUUUAUAUGGAUAGCUAAAUCAGGCUUUGAAAAAGAAUAGACAUUUAAUUAACAAAAGCCAAAUCCUCACGUAUUUGGCGUGAAAUAGAAAUAGAAUGUGUAAGGUGCUUUCUUUACCAAGAGGAUGAGGCUUAGCAGGUAAAGUGAUGUGUCAGGUCAGGUCCAGAACAGAUCACUGGCUUGGGCAACAUUGGGUUUGGUUUGAAACUACUAUAAAAUCCCUUCUCCCUACUCCUCCCCGGGAGCCACCUGCUGGCAGAAGGGCACUUUCUGCUCUUUCCUUGGGUUGCAGAGCAGUGAGCUGAAGGGGGAGACGAGACGGGAACAUGACCGACCAUAUUCAUGGUGUAAGAGAUUCAUUUAAGGGCUUCUAUUCCUUCCCUCCCCUGCUGCACACAGUCCGACAUCAACCCCUGGAAAUGACUCUUGUUAACCAGUGUCACUACUUACAAUGAGAUUCACAUCUUGGGCUUGGCUUUAUUCUAAUGUCUAGACAUUUACUUGAACCAUGGAAAACAUCUUUUCCUUGACAGAAACCUCAAUCAAGAUAUCAUCUGGAGUAAAACAGGAACAUUCUUUCCUCUUUUCUUGAAUAAUGAAGAUGUGUCACUUCAGCAUGAGGAGAAUGGGUGGGGCCUGCAAGUGCCAACGGAUCCUUCAAAGCCAUCCUGCAGGACCCUCACCUCAAGCUGAUGGGAGAAGCUUUGUGGCCCCCAUGUAGCCCUGAGCCACCUGCUGUUCAUAGGAAGUGGGUUCACAUCUCCUUUUCUAGGCCCAGCCUACUGACUCCUUUAGAAGCUGCUUUUGUAAGCCCCCGGCCAGGAUGGCCCUUCCCUCCUAUUCCCCGGGCCUGCGGAGCACUCCCCAGGAAGUCUCUGCAUCUUUUCCCCCAGCCCGUCUUCACCGCCAGCUCUCUGCGUCAGGCUGCAGCCUUCGCUGUCUUUGGCAGUCACUUUGCUGGGCUUGGUGGACUUGGUUGGAAACCUCGCUGAUGCGUCCAAACCAGGACUUGCCACUUCUGUUUUCCCAGCUGGUCCUGGUGUCUUUUCCCUCCUCGUUCUCCCCUUGAGCUUGAAAAGCACUUUGCCCUGGUGCUGGCCACUGCAGAAACAGCCCCCUCCCCACACUGCCUUGCUUCCUGGGGAAGGUGGACCUGCUUUGGCUGCAUGCUCCUGGCCUGCUGUGCUGUGGACCAGAAAGGCUUGUCUUCAAGGGGGAACCUUCCGGGCCCUUCUCCUCUCAGGUCCUGCUUUGAUACCCCCCCGUCUGCCUGAGUUAAGGUAGGAGCCCCCAUCUCCUAAUGGGCCUGUGCUUUCUGCUUCAGUGUGGUCCACGUCCUGGAUGACUGGCCUUCACCAUAUCCACUGCCUUCGUCGGCCAGGUGGGUCGAACCCACGGACCUAUAAGAUCAUCUCAAAAUCCUCUCUAUUUAGUGCUUUCCAGUGAUUUGGGUUGGUCUGUUUGGUUUGGGACAACCUACACAACUUACUUACCUUGGAAUUUAACUUGAUGCACAUGGGGAGAAGAGACACCAGAAGGCACCUUCUCCUAGGAAGACCAAGAAUUUACUUUGAUUUUGUGGUUUUAAAAAAAAAUCACACUGCUUCUCUGCUUUUAUUAUAGUCCAAGCAAGGAUAAGAAAGUCUAGGAAAACUGAAGGCACAUUUAGGCAAAUCCAUGUUGUUAGGUUGGAGCUGAAAAAUCAGAUUGUUAUUCAGGAUCAGACACUAUUUAAUCCAAACCUCCUCAUUAAUUCUUUGCUUUAGAAUUCUAAAUUCUAAAUUAUCAUUCGGUGGGUGCAGGCACACGGGUAUGGUCAUCAUUGAAAGCUAAGGAUACGUCUGUACUCAUUUAUUUGUUGAUAGAGUAAUCACACAUGCUUUCUUGAAUCUAGUUUACCCAUAUUAAAAGAUAAUGAUGACAUAUUUGUAUUUCACUGAAUUUAAUUUGCUAGAUUGUUGGUCCCUCUGGAAAUAUUAUAAUUGUUAUUAUUAUCCUUUUCCAAAUAAUCAAAUGCAAACAUCUCAGGAUUAUUUGGUUGGGGUCAUGGAACUGAGAAUGAUUAUUUGGAGAAAUCUAUUUGUAAUACAAUUUACAACUGCAUUAUGCCACUUGCUCUAGGAAAAUCUGAGUAAAUUGAUUUGCAAGUUGAAUAUUUCGAAGGAUGAACAUUAGUGCCAAUUUGUGACUUAUAAUGUUCCAAUGAUGUUAGAGAGACCAUUCCCUUGAAUGCUAAAAUUACUUAUAAAACUUAUAAAUUAAUGAAGAAUUUUGGUAGUUGGUUCUAAAGUAAAGUGUUAAUUCAUUGCAUCAGGUAACAGUUGCUAAUUUUUGAAAACAAAAUAUGCAACUCAUAGAAGCAGCAAUGCUGCAUAAAGUAAACGUUCAAAUAUAUCUCUGCUUCAUGUAUUUCGUGUAUAUAUAUUCACCUGUGUGUUUCUUAUUCUACCUUUUAAACCUUUUCAUUUUGGCAUUUGGGAAUAGGUGAUUUUAUCAAAAUUAGAAUUUUACUCAUAGUCCAGUUUAUGUGAAUCAGUUUUACACGGUAGCCCUGACUUCUUGUAGUUAGCAUGUUGAGACUGACAUAUUCUUGGGAAACCUGCCUGCCUGUUUACUCCGAGUUGCCUAGCUUGCUUCUGGUAGGAUUUUCUCUAUAGUUAGAAUCCAAGAUUUAUCCUCAUGUCAUAUGAAGAUUUGUCUUAGUAAAUGCUCCAAAUAUGUGUUUGCAUACAUUUGUAUACAGAGACAUAUGCACAUGUAUUAAUUUAAAUAUAUGUAUAUAUACAUAUGUGUGUAUAUCUAUAUAGAUAAAGACACUGACACAGAUAUAUAUUAUAUAAAGGGAGAGGGAGAGGGAAAGAGAAGCAAAUUUGGACAUCUGAGUGGGUGUUUCCAGGUGUGUCUAAUCUGUGGAUGUGUGCUAAGAUCAAUAGGUUAUUUUGAUUUCAAAGACCAGGCAUGGACUCAAUAGACAUCCAGGAGAAAAUAGGAUCAUUCUAUGUUGAUUUUACUAUCACCUAAAAACAUUUUUAAUUUAAUUCAAUUGACUUAUAUUGUGAGACACAAAAAGAGGGGAUACAUAGAUUAUGCAGAGUUAAGAAAAACUUGUCCUGAGUGAGCACUCAGCUCAGAAGACAGGAACUGUCAUCUGAUGUUCCUCCUGACCCUGCAUCCUAGCCUGAGUUUUCCUGGGUUUCAUGUUGAUCACUCCUUUAUUUUCUUUAUGGUAAAGCAGUCCUUUUCCUUCCCUCUACAUCUGGUGAUGCACAAAGCUCCAGUUAGUUCAUUCCCACUGCUUUGUAGUUUUCCACUGAAAGGAUCCUUUUCAGCUGAGUUACCUCAGACUUGGCAGUGGCUCUCUCUGUUCUGCUGUGGAGAGGCAUUCCCAUCAUUUCUUUUUUUUUUUCCGGGGACGGGACUGUACAAACGUUCUUACACACCUCCUGGCGUGCACGGGUAGCAUUUCUUAUUGAUUAGUAAGUCAGUAAAAAUAUAUACUUGUGUACUGGCCCCUCCUCCCCUUAAUUGUUGGCAAUAUCCUCUUCCAGUUUGUGGUAUCUUUUGAUGGAUAUUAGCUUUUUCAUUUUAAUGGGGUCAGAAUCACCUGCCUUUUCUGCUUUCUUUGUUUUUGUUUGAGAAACUCUACCUCCUAGAGAGCACAGGAUGUUCUUACAUUUUUUCCUACAAAGCUUUGCAGGAACUUCAUGAUAUGGGCAGCCCCUUGGGAGCCCACACCAUCUGCUCAGGUGAGGGCCUGUGUCUGGGUUCUCCCUUACUUUCACCUGAGCGGCUCAUUGUUCAGAUUUCUAGAACUUCGCUGUAAUCACUUGAUUAGUCAUAACUUGAUUACUGUCACUAUAAUUAGCCUUGAUUUCUAGUAGAGCAAUUAUUUCCACUUUGCUCUUCUUCAAGUGGGACUUGAAAACCCAUGGUGGACGUUUAUUCUUUCCUUUAAAUUUUGGAAAUACUUUGUGAAGUUUGUGAAAAAUCUUGUGGGAAAUUACAUCAAACCUACAGUUCAACUUUUGUAGGGCCGAUAUAGAUUCAAUAUUAAAUUUUUAUUAAAAAUUUUGGUGGUUCUCUCAUUUUAUUUUGCUUGUUAAUAUCCAUUUUUAAAUGUCUGACACAUCUUUGGUGAGACGUUUUAAUAAGAUCCUUAUAAUUUUAUUUUGGGUCAUUCUAAGGUGUUAGAUAUUUUCUUUUAUAGUUAAAAUAGCACCUUCUUUUUAAUCAUUUAAAUAACAUUUUAUUGCUAGAGCAAAGAAAUAUAGUUGUAUCUUUGUACAUUGAUUCUGUAUCCAGGAAAUUUGCCAAGUCCUCUUAUUAAUUAUGAUACUGUAUCUGUAGAUACUUAUGAUUUCUUUAUAGAUGAUAUUUUUCUAAAAAUAAUAAUGACCUGGCUUCUUUUAACUUUAACAUUUUAUUGUUUACUUAUUUGCAUAUUUUUGAUUAUUUUGAUCCUGGUCUUAAAAAAAAAUGCUUGUAACUUUGUGUUCCUUCAGCAUGUAUUCAUGCGGGGCUCAGAACACCAUAGCAAACAAAGGCUGUGAGGUGCAGGGUCUGUAGAGGUUGCAGUUGACGAAGGCUAAGAGGGAUGAUGACCAAACAGUGUAACAAACCAGUGAACUGCUUGGGGCCACAGAAGGUGGUGACCGCCAUGAGGGAAAUUCACAAGGAGAAGUGGGUCAGUUCUGGGGAUGGUAGGAGGACACCAAAACCGGUCAGGAGGGUUCGGCCGUGAUGGAGGGGUGGUUACUGGACUCAGAUCUUGGCAGAGUUAGAGAUUUCCUGACAGAAUGUCAGGUGCAGGAACUGGACCACGGGAGGGGUGGAGCCACAGCUGGCCAGCUGGAGGAAGCACACUGGGAAUCUGGUCAGGGAAGUGUUGCUUUGAGAUGCCCUUUAGAUAUUAACUAGGAUAUCUAGUUAAUAUCUACUAGAUAAUAACUCUUUGCAAGGCCUUUUAUCAGAGUUGAGAAGGGCUUUCUUUGCUCACACUGACCCAGCUGUGGGACACAUCAGGGGCCAUACACCAGGAAGCUCUUCACCAGUGAUCAUCAGAACAGUGCCAUUACCAUCAGCUGGCCCUGGUGGUGCCCAGUCCUCCACGCCACCAUUCUCUUUUGCAAGCUGGACACCUUCAGCCUCGCAUAAAUCCUUAGGAAUUUCCCUGGUGAGAACCUGCUGGUGACAAACUCAGUUUUGACUGACUCUAUCUUUGCCCUCAUUCUUGAAAGAUGCUGGGACGUGGGCUGGUACCCACUGCCCCUCAGCUUCUCGAGGAGUUAGUCACGCUGCCUCUGGCUCCAUUUGCUGGUCCGUUGUGCUUGUCUGAUUUCCUCCAUGGCUCCUUGCCAUUCACCGGUUUCACACAGUAAGCAUGAUUUUCAUUUAGGCCAACUGACACUCACCAGGCCUCCUGGCCGUAAGAAGGGCUGUGUUGCCACAGUCCUGGGCGAGCUGCGGCCAUCUGAAACUGGCCAGUUAGACAAUGCUAAAGUGCUUGGCUUCCUGUUCUGGGACCCAGCCCCUGUUUGUGUUUCUCAUCUGUCUGUCCGUGCUGCUCUGUGGUGGACUUCCAGGCUCUGUCUCCAGUUCACUAAU
rnacentral:lncRNA from 1 species